rnacentral:rRNA from 1 species
GGGUUGUGAGGUUAAGCGACUAAGCGUACACGGUGGAUGCCCUGGCAGUCAGAGGCGAUGAAGGACGUGCUAAUCUGCGAUAAGCGUCGGUAAGGUGAUAUGAACCGUUAUAACCGGCGAUUUCCGAAUGGGGAAACCCAGUGUGUUUCGACACACUAUCAUUAACUGAAUCCAUAGGUUAAUGAGGCGAACCGGGGGAACUGAAACAUCUAAGUACCCCGAGGAAAAGAAAUCAACCGAGAUUCCCCCAGUAGCGGCGAGCGAACGGGGAGCAGCCCAGAGCCUGAAUCAGUAUGUGUGUUAGUGGAAGCGUCUGGAAAGGCGCGCGAUACAGGGUGACAGCCCCGUACACAAAAAUGCACAUGCUGUGAGCUCGAUGAGUAGGGCGGGACACGUGGUAUCCUGUCUGAAUAUGGGGGACCAUCCUCCAAGGCUAAAUACUCCUGACUGACCGAUAGUGAACCAGUACCGUGAGGGAAAGGCGAAAAGAACCCCGGCGAGGGGAGUGAAAAAGAACCUGAAACCGUGUACGUACAAGCAGUGGGAGCACGCUUAGGCGUGUGACUGCGUACCUUUUGUAUAAUGGGUCAGCGACUUAUAUUCUGUAGCAAGGUUAACCGAAUAGGGGAGCCGAAGGGAAACCGAGUCUUAACUGGGCGUUAAGUUGCAGGGUAUAGACCCGAAACCCGGUGAUCUAGCCAUGGGCAGGUUGAAGGUUGGGUAACACUAACUGGAGGACCGAACCGACUAAUGUUGAAAAAUUAGCGGAUGACUUGUGGCUGGGGGUGAAAGGCCAAUCAAACCGGGAGAUAGCUGGUUCUCCCCGAAAGCUAUUUAGGUAGCGCCUCGUGAAUUCAUCUCCGGGGGUAGAGCACUGUUUCGGCAAGGGGGUCAUCCCGACUUACCAACCCGAUGCAAACUGCGAAUACCGGAGAAUGUUAUCACGGGAGACACACGGCGGGUGCUAACGUCCGUCGUGAAGAGGGAAACAACCCAGACCGCCAGCUAAGGUCCCAAAGUCAUGGUUAAGUGGGAAACGAUGUGGGAAGGCCCAGACAGCCAGGAUGUUGGCUUAGAAGCAGCCAUCAUUUAAAGAAAGCGUAAUAGCUCACUGGUCGAGUCGGCCUGCGCGGAAGAUGUAACGGGGCUAAACCAUGCACCGAAGCUGCGGCAGCGACGCUGAUGCGUUGUUGGGUAGGGGAGCGUUCUGUAAGCCUGCGAAGGUGUGCUGUGAGGCAUGCUGGAGGUAUCAGAAGUGCGAAUGCUGACAUAAGUAACGAUAAAGCGGGUGAAAAGCCCGCUCGCCGGAAGACCAAGGGUUCCUGUCCAACGUUAAUCGGGGCAGGGUGAGUCGACCCCUAAGGCGAGGCCGAAAGGCGUAGUCGAUGGGAAACAGGUUAAUAUUCCUGUACUUGGUGUUACUGCGAAGGGGGGACGGAGAAGGCUAUGUUGGCCGGGCGACGGUUGUCCCGGUUUAAGCGUGUAGGCUGGUUUUCCAGGCAAAUCCGGAAAAUCAAGGCUGAGGCGUGAUGACGAGGCACUACGGUGCUGAAGCAACAAAUGCCCUGCUUCCAGGAAAAGCCUCUAAGCAUCAGGUAACAUCAAAUCGUACCCCAAACCGACACAGGUGGUCAGGUAGAGAAUACCAAGGCGCUUGAGAGAACUCGGGUGAAGGAACUAGGCAAAAUGGUGCCGUAACUUCGGGAGAAGGCACGCUGAUAUGUAGGUGAAGUCCCUCGCGGAUGGAGCUGAAAUCAGUCGAAGAUACCAGCUGGCUGCAACUGUUUAUUAAAAACACAGCACUGUGCAAACACGAAAGUGGACGUAUACGGUGUGACGCCUGCCCGGUGCCGGAAGGUUAAUUGAUGGGGUUAGCGCAAGCGAAGCUCUUGAUCGAAGCCCCGGUAAACGGCGGCCGUAACUAUAACGGUCCUAAGGUAGCGAAAUUCCUUGUCGGGUAAGUUCCGACCUGCACGAAUGGCGUAAUGAUGGCCAGGCUGUCUCCACCCGAGACUCAGUGAAAUUGAACUCGCUGUGAAGAUGCAGUGUACCCGCGGCAAGACGGAAAGACCCCGUGAACCUUUACUAUAGCUUGACACUGAACAUUGAGCCUUGAUGUGUAGGAUAGGUGGGAGGCUUUGAAGUGUGGACGCCAGUCUGCAUGGAGCCGACCUUGAAAUACCACCCUUUAAUGUUUGAUGUUCUAACGUUGACCCGUAAUCCGGGUUGCGGACAGUGUCUGGUGGGUAGUUUGACUGGGGCGGUCUCCUCCUAAAGAGUAACGGAGGAGCACGAAGGUUGGCUAAUCCUGGUCGGACAUCAGGAGGUUAGUGCAAUGGCAUAAGCCAGCUUGACUGCGAGCGUGACGGCGCGAGCAGGUGCGAAAGCAGGUCAUAGUGAUCCGGUGGUUCUGAAUGGAAGGGCCAUCGCUCAACGGAUAAAAGGUACUCCGGGGAUAACAGGCUGAUACCGCCCAAGAGUUCAUAUCGACGGCGGUGUUUGGCACCUCGAUGUCGGCUCAUCACAUCCUGGGGCUGAAGUAGGUCCCAAGGGUAUGGCUGUUCGCCAUUUAAAGUGGUACGCGAGCUGGGUUUAGAACGUCGUGAGACAGUUCGGUCCCUAUCUGCCGUGGGCGCUGGAGAACUGAGGGGGGCUGCUCCUAGUACGAGAGGACCGGAGUGGACGCAUCACUGGUGUUCGGGUUGUCAUGCCAAUGGCACUGCCCGGUAGCUAAAUGCGGAAGAGAUAAGUGCUGAAAGCAUCUAAGCACGAAACUUGCCCCGAGAUGAGUUCUCCCUGACUCCUUGAGAGUCCUGAAGGAACGUUGAAGACGACGACGUUGAUAGGCCGGGUGUGUAAGCGCAGCGAUGCGUUGAGCUAACCGGUACUAAUGAACCGUGAGGCUUAACCUUACAACGCCGAAGGUGUUU